UCUGGAAGAGCAGCAGAACAGCAGAGCAGAUCGUGACAUCCAAUGCCUCUGGAAGAGCAGCAGAACAGCAGAGCAGAUCGUGACAUCCAAUGUGAACGCCCUGUAACUGUGAUAAUCAUCCCUGCGAGGUGGCCGGAGCCGAGA